rnacentral:lncRNA from 1 species
UAUCGACAAAAGAGAGAAAACCUCUUCUUUGGUUGAGGUUCAGCUGUGGAGGUGUGGCUGACUGAAUUUAUCUCCCCGCUUUGCCUGUCGGUGGUUCGGCGCUUCAUUUUCCCUACCAAAUUUACGGUAACUUUCAGGUUAUCCACUCCUAUAGACCUACGUCUUAUUCCCCAAUUCGCUUGCAUUCGCCUAUGGAAAUCUCUCUUUGAUAUAUAAAUAAACAAUUGCACACAUAUAUGUACAUGUGUAUAUAUUUAAUUAUUUAUCUUGUACGAGAAUUUUGUGAUCCACAAACACAAAACUAAACAUACAUUUUGAACAAUUUAUUUAAUAACGAGUUUGAGUAUGUUGAUUUGAUCAAGAGGGAAAAGUUGAUGUUAAAAGGUUCAAAGCUAUGAGGGAAAGUUUUUAAUUGAACUUAUUGUCUUGCUACUGGUAAUUUGUGGUUUACAAGGGCCAGGGGCCCAGGAGAGAAAUUAAUCAGUAGGUAUGACAUUAGAUACAUAUAUUCCCACGGAUUUCAGAACCUCGGCACCCUUCUAUGUUACGAAGUGAGGAAUCUAAAUCAUAUAUACAUCAAUGCAUAUCUUUACGUAGAUAUUUACAUUCCAUGAAGCUAAUGCAUUAUCAGAAUUAUUUACUAAAAAUACUUUCUAUGCUUCUUUUGCCUUUUCUGCCUUGUUCUGUUUUUUAGGUAUUUUUGUCGUUCAUCCCUUGGAGAGUUUGGAAAUUGCCUACAAUGAGAAGGCAGCAUUUAUUUUUGAUGGAUGAGAGUUCAUGAUCUAUGAGACCUGGCCUUUUAUUUGUUCAAUUGGAAAGUAAGCUAGUGGUUGACUGGUAGUUCAUCUUAUGCAGCAUUUAUAGGCAUAGUGCGCUGUAAUACCUAAUGGGAGCGCCAUGUGUCUCUGAAGUUUUCCCAUUAAGAUAUUAGUUCAUAGGUGUCAUUGUCAUUUUAAUAAUUCACAAUAAUCUUGAAAUAAUGGAUGUUUAAGGGACUAAAAUUUAAUUACUAGUCCCUGAGUCGUCUUGUGAGAGAAAUAUAGAGCUCGUGAUAAUAUAAUUGUAAUUUGAAACUUGUAUAUAAUUUCACAAUAAUGAAUUUACUUGAUUAAAGGCAAUUCUCGUCAUUAUCAAUUCUUUGACUAUUUUCCAAGGCUUUAAAGCAUCACCGAGGUUGUUCUGGAU